ACUCCUACGGGAGGCAGCAGUGGGGAAUAUUGGACAAUGGGCGCAAGCCUGAUCCAGCCAUGCCGCGUGAGUGAUGAAGGCCCUAGGGUUGUAAAGCUCUUUCACCGGUGAAGAUAAUGACGGUAACCGGAGAAGAAGCCCCGACUAACUUCGUGCCAGCAGCCGCGGUAAUACGAAGGGGGCUAGCGUUGUUCGGAUUUACUGGGCGUAAAGCGCACGUAGGCGGACUAUUAAGUCAGGGGUGAAAUCCCGGGGCUCAACCCCGGAACUGCCUUUGAUACUGGUAGUCUUGAGUUCGAGAGAGGGGAGUGGAAUUCCGAGUGUAGAGGUGAAAUUCGUAGAUAUUCGGAGGAACACCAGUGGCGAAGGCGGCUCACUGGCUCGAUACUGACGCUGAGGUGCGAAAGCGUGGGGAGCAAACAGGAUUAGAAACCCCGGUAGUCCCAUGA
rnacentral:rRNA from 1 species